rnacentral:rRNA from 1 species
AUUGAACGCUGGCGGCAUGCUUUACACAUGCAAGUCGAACGGUGACAGGUUAAGCUGACGAGUGGCGAACGGGUGAGUAAUGCAUCGGAACGUGCCCGGUCGUGGGGGAUAACGCAGCGAAAGCUGCGCUAAUACCGCAUACGAUCCGAGGAUGAAAGCGGGGGACCGUAAGGCCUCGCGCGAUCGGAGCGGCCGAUGUCAGAUUAGGUAGUUGGGGGGGUAAAGGCUCACCAAGCCAACGAUCUGUAGCUGGUCUGAGAGGACGACCAGCCACACUGGGACUGAGACACGGCCCAGACUCCUACGGGAGGCAGCAGUGGGGAAUUUUGGACAAUGGGCGAAAGCCUGAUCCAGCAAUGCCGCGUGCAGGAAGAAGGCCUUCGGGUUGUAAACUGCUUUUGUACGGAGCGAAAAGGUCUCCUCUAAUACAGGGGGCUCAUGACGGUACCGUAAGAAUAAGCACCGGCUAACUACGUGCCAGCCGCCGCCGUAA